rnacentral:rRNA from 1 species
AGUGAACGCUGGCGGCAGGCCUAAUACAUGCAAGUCGAACGGCAGCACAGCGGAGCUUGCUCUGUGGGUGGCGAGUGGCGGACGGGUGAGGAAUACAUGGGAAUCUGCCCAGUCGUGGGGGAUAACGUAUGGAAACGUACGCUAAUACCGCAUGCGCCCUACGGGGGAAAGUCGGGGACCGCAAGGCCUGACGCGAUUGGAUGAGCCCAUGUUCGAUUAGCUAGUUGGCGGGGUAAAGGCCCACCAAGGCGACGAUCGAUAGCUGGUCUGAGAGGAUGAUCAGCCACACUGGAACUGAGACACGGUCCAGACUCCUACGGGAGGCAGCAGUAGGGAAUAUUGGACAAUGGGGGCAACCCUGAUCCAGCCAUGCCGCGUGAGUGAAGAAGGCCCUCGGGUUGUAAAGCUCUUUUGUCCGGAAAGAAAAGCAUUCGGUUAAUACCCGGGUGUUCUGACGGUACCGGAAGAAUAAGCACCGGCUAACUUCGUGCCAGCAG